rnacentral:lncRNA from 1 species
GGAGCCGGAGGGCAGCUCCGGCCCCAGCUCGCCGGCGUCCCCGUCGCCGGUCUCGUCGCCGCAGGGCACGCCCGAGCGGCAGCCUGAGCGACCCUGCUCGUCGCCGCAGGGGCCGUACCGCACGGCUGACCUGCUGCGAGGCUGCGCCGACCUGCCCUUCGCCGACUCAGGCAGUGGGUCGCCGAGCCCGGACGACCUUUCUCUGGAGCUGGAGCGUGCCAAACUGCGUAACGACCCCGGCCUGCUAGCCGUGGCCAACCGUCUGGUGCAGGAUGUCCUGCGUAAGGCGCGCGAGGAGGCCGUCAGGAGACUCAGCCAGGAGGGCAAGACCCGCGGACAGGUGGCUUUCUCCGCAACGGAGGUGCAUCCGGCGACACAUCCUGCGGCACAUCCGCUGAGCGGACAGCGCCGCCCAAGGCCCAACUGGGAGCGUCGACUGCGCGGCGUCUUCUACACAUUCUUCUCCUGCUUCGGCUUGCGGAGAGGUUCGUUCUGAAGACCGUGGACCGCGCCACCAGGACCAGGCUGGCGCGAGUUUUGUGCUCUGAGAAGCAGCUGGCCCAGCAAAGAGGCGGUUUUGGUUAGCGCCACGGAGUGCGGAGCAAGAGGUACCGAUUACGUGCUGAGCACAGCGUGCCUCGCAGUGAGCCCGAUCGCGCGAGCGGCGCCGUUCCGAACACCAUUUCCAUGGCGGUGAUCUGGGGCGAAUGGGAGCGGCAGAUUGUUGGGAACCUCCGAUUGCUGCAAUCUUCUGACUUUGCUGAAGAUGUUCCUGCGAGCCACGGUUCUAGCAAACAUGGAGAGUGGGUCACCUGGACGACACUGAAUCGCACCAGUGGAUUUUUGGACAACCGAGAGCCUCACACUGACAGACGUGUUUCCCUUGAGACGCCCUUCCCUCCCUGGAUGCGUUCCUGAGCAUUAUUUACACUCAAGAGAUCUACAGUCACAUGGAAAUCUGCUUCCAAAGACUCUGGCGCUGGCAUUCCGAUGGUGUCAGGCCCAUGAUGAGGCCCAUGGCUAGUACUGGCGUGUUGCUGUGGCGGCAGCACUUCUGGAUAUUGUGUUGAAGUUCGAAGGAUGUCUGCGGCCCGAUGUAGUUGUAUGCCUCGUGUCAUUCGUCAAGUGUCUCUGAAAAUCUUACAACCGCCCGUGUUUGGUGACCACUUUCAUAGCAAGGAUCCAGUGCCACCCGGCUGGUAAACGGAAAGCCUCUUUGGUUUUCUCGUACAGUAUCAAAAUGAAUGGUGAGGUGCCGGCUCGAGAUAACGAAAGUCUUCGCGACCCCAGCCGGGUGCCUGAGGCUCAUCUGCGCUGCUGCAUUCACUUCCGCUGUGGUCAUGAAUUUGUGGUUGGCCGCGUGGACAGAAUCAUCGUUGGCGCCGCAAGAGUUCUGAACGAAUGCUUGCAAUCGCGAACAACGGUGACAGAUCAGCGUUAGCCGUCUGUUCAGCGUCGCUGGCAGUUCGUCAGCGUGGAAAUCGAUCUCCUCUCCUUGAUCACGCAGGACUCGGCUGAGAUUCAAGCAAUAUGUCUUGUAGUGUCCUUGACCUUCCGAUCGAACGCUGCUAAAUGGUGCUCCACUCAUCGAGCCGAUAUGGGGGGUCCUCGUGCUUCCAGGAAGAUUAGUUUUUGUCAGCACUAGGCACUGGGGGAGAGGCCUUCAAGAGGCGGAUUGGGGUGCCAGCCAGGGGGCGAUCGGCAUUGUGAGGUCACGGCGGUGAGGCCAAAUGCGUAUCGUCUCCCCGGUUUUCGUCAGACGUAUUUCUUACAGGAACGCUUUCUGCCUGAACGUUGGUGACCAUGUGUACCCGCUGUUCCCCGGUAUGUGUCGCGGACCUCACGUGCGCUCUCCAGUGCUUUUGAACCAUCAAAUCACGGAACAAGACGUGGCUUACCUCGUCCUGGUCCGGCUCUGGGCGUCAAAGCGGCUGAGGGGAAGUAUGCAUGAUGUUGGAGACGUGGCUAUGGCGUUCAAUCCACGCGAGGUUGCGAUGUUCCUGCAUUCACGCGUCCCAUCUGUCUUACCGGUCUCGAUGGUCGUCGCCACCCGACGGUCGUCGUUCCCACAGAAGGAAAACCUCAGCAGUGCGUCGCCGUCUUAUUGAAUGUGUUGUCAGCUCUCGUUUGACUGUCAGAGCAUUGCGCCAAGAUCGACUGACCAUCAGAACUGCGAACGAUCGAUGGCAUGAGUGACGCGAUGUCAGCCACUGACAUCGGGAGGGCCUGAACACGAGGCUUUAUGUGGGGACUGAGGGAGAGUGCCAUCACUGCGUCAGGGUGAAGGUCCAGUCGACCGAACCCCUUAGAUGACAAUGCGAGAUGAAUGUUAUUGAUGUUUCUAUAA